UACGGAGGGUGCGAGCGUUGUCCGGAAUCACUGGGCGUAAAGGGCGCGUAGGCGGUCUGUUAAGCGUGUGGUGAAAGCUCGGGGCUCAACCCCGAGUCUGCCAUGCGAACUGGUGGACUUGAGCACUGUAGAGGCAGGUGGAAUUCCGGGUGUAGCGGUGGAAUGCGUAGAGAUCCGGAGGAACACCGGUGGCGAAGGCGGCCUGCUGGGCAGUUGCUGACGCUGAGGCGCGACAGCGUGGGGAGCAAACAGG
rnacentral:rRNA from 1 species